AAUGCCAUGGAAUGGGGAAGGGUACAACUCUAGGAUCAGACCCAAAGGGAACUGUUGUGAAUCUUGAUUUUGUGACUUCUUGGCUAUUGGAUUUGGGCCAAUUAUUUGUCAUCUCUGUACCUUAAUUUACUCAUCUAUGAAAGAAGGACUAAAAAUACUUAUCAUAGGAGAAGACAAUAUGUAAGCCACUUGGCAAUGUGCCUGGGACCUAGUGAGCGAUUCUUCUCACUUAUUAUUGUUUUCGUCAUCAUCGACAUCAUCGUCACCAUUACUUUUCAUUGUCUUUGGAAAUUUGGACAGAGACCACAGGCAGAUGCGGUGCCGUAUUCCCACAGGGCUGGAGCAGCGGGUGUGUUUUUCUGUGAUAGCAGCGCUUCCCGGAACCAGCAGGGUACACGUUAUUUGACCUGAAGGGCGAGGGAGUUCAGAGCCUACAGUGAUGAGAGAAAGCCCUGAGUGAACGUUUCCUUUCAGCUUCGUGAGAGGAAGAGUCUAAAUAGGGGAGCCAUCCCCAAAACCUGACCACGAGCAAGGGUGCAAAAUAGGGUGCAGUCUCUUCACAUAUCUAGACAGGAGUAUGAACCUCCUUGGGAGCGUGCAGGCUGGCAAUACCCGUGUGUGCAUGAUGACACGGCAGUUAGGAGCUUCUCUGGGGCCUUCAGGCAGACGGUCUGGGCUGUGUCCUGGCUGUGCCUUUUCCCAGCCCUACCUGCAGUCCUACACAUCUUCUCCACCUCCAGCGGCUUCUCCUUCUCACAUCCACCCUCUGCGAAGGCAUAAAUAGUAGCAACUCCCUUCUGGAUUCUAUGAGGUGAUAAUUACAUGAGAUGGCAGAGCCUGGAGCACGGGAGCUCCUCAGUGACUCAGUCAUGUUCAUUCCAAGGAGUUCAGGGUCCUUGCCGUCUGCAAACCUUUCCCCUUAUUUUCAAGAUCCUUGAGUCUGACUGUCAAGCAGUAACAUUCCAGCCUCAACUACAACAAUACUUGUAGAUGAAUGGAGCUUCCACUGGACCCCAUGUCACUGGUGAGGGACUUCAGGCAGAGAGAAAGCUCAUCCUUUGCCCAAGGUCACACCGCUGGUAAAAAGCAAAUGAAGUUCAAACUGACCUCCUCAUCCCUGCCCUUGUCCUCCCAACAGGCUCCUCACAGGUGGAAAAAUCAACCCCUACAGCAAACUCAUUGUUUUUUUGACCUCUCCUAAAAUUAAAAUCCAAGAUCCCUCA
ensembl:lncRNA LINC02368 long intergenic non-protein coding RNA 2368